rnacentral:rRNA from 1 species
UGCUUGCACUGGGUGGAUGAGUGGCGAACGGGUGAGUAAUACGUGAGUAACCUGCCCUUGACUCUGGGAUAAGCCUGGGAAACUGGGUCUAAUACUGGAUACGACGGCGCAUCGCAUGGUGUGUUGUGGAAAGGGUUUUACUGGUUUUGGAUGGGCUCACGGCCUAUCAGCUUGUUGGUGGGGUAAUGGCUCACCAAGGCGACGACGGGUAGCCGGCCUGAGAGGGUGACCGGCCACACUGGGACUGAGACACGGCCCAGACUCCUACGGGAGGCAGCAGUGGGGAAUAUUGCACAAUGGGCGGAAGCCUGAUGCAGCGACGCCGCGUGAGGGAUGACGGCCUUCGGGUUGUAAACCUCUUUCAGCACGGAAGAAGCGAGAGUGACGGUACGUGCAGAAGAAGCGCCGGCUAACUACGUGCCAGCAGCCGCGGUAAUACGUAGGGCGCAAGCGUUGUCCGGAAUUAUUGGGCGUAAAGAGCUCGUAGGCGGUUUGUCGCGUCUGCUGUGAAAGCCCGGGGCUUAACCCCGGGUGUGCAGUGGGUACGGGCAGACUUGAGUGCAGUAGGGGAGACUGGAAUUCCUGGUGUAGCGGUGAAAUGCGCAGAUAUCAGGAGGAACACCGAUGGCGAAGGCAGGUCUCUGGGCUGUUACUGACGCUGAGGAGCGAAAGCAUGGGGAGCGAACAGGAUUAGAUACCCUGGUAGUCCAUGCCGUAAACGUUGGGCACUAGGUGUGGGGAACAUUCCACGUUUUCCGCGCCGUAGCUAACGCAUUAAGUGCCCCGCCUGGGGAGUACGGC